GUGGAAUUUCGUAUUCCGCCUCGACGGCUGAUGAUGAAACCCAGCUGUAAUCCGAAUAACGCCUCUGAACAUGGUGAUUAAUGUCAAAGACUUCCGGGUUUUUAUAUAUUUUUUGCGAUGCAUUUAGAGGAUUUUUUCUUAUUUAAUUUGUAUUGUUAAUAAUUGUUUUUGUGGCCUCAAUAAUAGUUUAUCUUAAUUAUGUUAAUUACAAGCAAAAUCUAUCUUCUCAAGAUUAUGAUAAGAUACGAUAUUAAUUAUACCUGCAGUGAUUUUUUUAAGUGCAAGGGGCAUGGACUUGAAGAUAUUGGUCUCAUUUCUUUUAAUUGCCUAUUCUUUGGCAAAACAUGAAAAAUAUAAUGGAUACACGGUAUAUAACGUUGUUAUUCGUGAUCGGAACGACAACGCCUUACUUGAUGCUGUUAGAGACGACUUCCAUUUGGACAUCUGGAAAUUUGGCAAUCCAACACGCGAUGCAGCAGUAAUGGUCCCACCGGAAUAUCAGGCUCCAUUUACAAAAGCUUUGAAUAACAAGGGAAUACAGUAUAGAAAUAAAGAGGACAUCUUAAGCGCAUUAGGUGAAUUCGAAAAGGAAUGUAAUCUUUGGAAUCAACGACGCGACUUAGCACAGCCAUUUACGUAUUACGCGCGGAUGGCCGAG